rfam:Pseudomonas sp. StFLB209 DNA, complete genome.
AUACGUGUAGGGUGGAGACGCACGACCAUCGGACUGUGUAGCACCGACGCUGUUCAAGACGCAUCAUCGCGUCCGCUCCCGAUGGCCGAUUCCUCCUCCUGAUCAAAGCUUUUGCUGACUGGGUGUCAUCUGUCACCACAGCAAGCAGGAACGUCGUCGCGACUCUUCAGCCCCACUGGCUGAAGAACCUCGCUGGACACUGGAGCGUCCCCACGCUCCUGACGUGCUCUGACACCGACCGUGAGAAGUCGUGUGUGCCGAACGCCGUUUCCGGCAGCCCCGGAAACCGA